AUUCAUGAAAACAUAAGUCUUUUGGAACAAUACUCAUUUGCAGCUCAGGCGCCAGAGUCCUUUUAUCAUCUUGAUCAAAGCUGGGUAAUGGUCCAAGAGAUUGAGAUUUUAAAGAUUGAAGUGAUGCCAGGAUGGAGAAAAGGAACAAAGAUCAAAUUUGAGGGCAAGGGUGAUGAAAAACCUGGAUACCUCCCUGCUGAGAUUCCUCUAGUAGAUGCACUCACAGGGUGCUCUUUACCAAUUUCUAUAUUAGGAGGGGAGAAGCUGACUUUGUCAUUUGAGAAUACUGUUGUAUACCCUGGAUAUGUUAAGGUUAUUGAAGGUCAAGGCAUGCCAACCCUUAAAAACGAUGGGAAAAGAGGUGACCUCCAUGUCAAGUUUCUAGUUGACUUCCCCAAAGAAUUGAGUGAUGAACAACGGCAAGAAGCUUUUAGAA